UAUCUUUUCCUUAUAAAUUUUAUUGCCCUAGCCACACUAGCAUUUUCCAGGGCUCCCUCGUAAUCCUAGAGUUCAAUAGGCUGUUUUCAUGAGUGGGAAGAUAAGUAAUUUGGAAGAGCAAUCAUUGGAUUUUUGAGAGUCUUGAAUGACCUUUCCUCUUGGAAAUUCACUGUCUGCAUUUUGUAUAUGCUUUUGCCUUUCACAUCCAAUAAUAUGAAAAAAAACCAGUUAACUAUGACAAACAUCAAGAUGCAUAGUUUAGCUGAUAUGAGAGCUAAGAUUCCAGGGCCCCAGAGUGAAGAUGAAAUGAUAACUAGGAUUAUGUGGAAGGUUUUGGUGUUCCAGUAAAAAUGAGAGAGGUGGCCUUGGGCUCACAGAAGGUGGAGGGAUUGGAACACUGCCCCUCCUAGUAUUUUUCAAGAAAAGAGUAGGGCAGGAAAAAAAAAAAUUCACCACAAAAGGAGAGAUGAAAACUUAUAUCAGCAAACACCUCAACUACAAAAAUGGAAGCCAGAGAACAAGUUAAAAAUACUGAGAAAGUAUAUGUUGAACUGGAUUAUAGACCUAUCUAAGCCACACAGAAUAAUGAAGGUAAAAUAAAGAUCUUUUUUUUUUUUUAAUUUUUUGGCAGGGGGUACUAGGGACACUCGAUCACUGAGCCACAUCCCUAGUCCUAUUUUGCAUAUUAUUUAGAGACAGGGUCUCACUGAGUCACUAAGUUCCUUGCCAGUGCUGAGCCUGGCUUUGAACUCACAAUUCUCCUCUCAGCCUUCCCAGCCACUGGGAUUACAGGCAUGUACCACUGUGCCCAGCUAAAAUAAAGAUCUUUUUAAAUGCAAAAUUAAC
rnacentral:lncRNA from 1 species